rnacentral:rRNA from 1 species
AGUGGGGAAUUUUGCGCAAUGGGGGAAACCCUGACGCAGCAACGCCGCGUGGGUGAUGAAGGCCUUCGGGUCGUAAAGCCCUGUCGGGAGGGAAGAAAUGAUUGAGAGCUAAUACCUCUUGGUCUUGACGGUACCUCCGAAGGAAGCACCGGCUAACUCCGUGCCAGCAGCCGCGGUAAUACGGAGGGUGCAAGCGUUGUUCGGAAUUAUUGGGCGUAAAGCGCGUGUAGGCGGUCUUUUAAGUCUGAUGUGAAAGCCCCGGGCUCAACCUGGGAAGUGCAUUGGAAACUGGGAGACUUGAGUACGGGAGAGGAGAGUGGAAUUCCUAGUGUAGGAGUGAAAUCCGUAGAUAUUAGGAGGAACACCGGUGGCGAAGGCGGCUCUCUGGACCGAUACUGACGCUGAGACGCGAAAGCGUGGGUAGCAAACAGGAUUAGAUACCCUGGUAGUCCACGCCGUAAACGAUGAGUACUAGGUGUUGCGGGUAUUGACCCCUGCAGUGCCGUAGCUAACGCAUUAAGUACUCCGCCUGGGAAGUACGGUCGCAAGACUAAAACUC